AACGAACGCUGGCGGCAUGCCUAACACAUGCAAGUCGAACGAGACCUUCGGGUCUAGUGGCGCACGGGUGAGUAACGCGUGGGAACCUGCCCUUAGGUUCGGAAUAACUCCCUGAAAGGGGUGCUAAUACCGGAUAAUGUCUUCGGACCAAAGAUUUAUCGCCUUUGGAUGGGCCCGCGUUGGAUUAGCUAGUUGGUAGGGUAAAAGCCUACCAAGGCGACGAUCCAUAGCUGGUCUGAGAGGAUGAUCAGCCACACUGGGACUGAGACACGGCCCAGACUCCUACGGGAGGCAGCAGUGGGGAAUAUUGGACAAUGGGCGAAAGCCUGAUCCAGCAAUGCCGCGUGAGUGAUGAAGGCCUUAGGGUUGUAAAGCUCUUUUACCCGGGAUGAUAAUGACAGUACCGGGAGAAUAAGCUCCGGCUAACUCCGUG
rnacentral:rRNA from 1 species